rnacentral:rRNA from 1 species
CAGACUUGGGCUUGGUUAAUCAUCUGGGGUUCUCCCCAGUGCACUUUUCCAGUCCAGGCCAGCAUCAGUUUGAGUGGUUAGAUAAAGGCUUAGAGAAUGUGGCCCUCUUCGGGGGGUGUUAUAGCUCUAGGUGCAAUGUAGCCUACUUGGACUGAGGACCGCGCUUCGGCUAGGAUGCUGGCGUAAUGGUUGUAAGCGA